GUGAGGAAUAUUGGUCAAUGGGCGAGAGCCUGAACCAGCCAAGUCGCGUGAAGGAUGAAGGUUUUAUGAAUUGUAAACUUCUUUUGCAGGGGAAUAAAGUACGGUACGUGUACCGUUUUGUAUGUACUCUGCGAAUCAGGAUCGGCUAACUCCGUGCCAGCAGACGCGGUAAUACGGAGGAUCCAAGCGUUCUCCGGAUUUAUUGGGUUUAAAGGGUGCGCAGGCGGGUUGAUAAGUCAGCGGUGAAAGAUUGCAGCUUAACUGUAAAAUUGCCGUUGCAGCUGUCGAUCUUGAGUGCAGAUGAGGUAAGUGGAAUGUGUUGUGUAGCGGUGAAAUGAUUAGAUAUAACACAGAACACCGAUUGCGAAGGCAGCUUACUGGGAUGCAACUGACGCUCAUGCACGAAAGCGUGGGGAUCAAACAGGAUUAGAAACCCUAGUAGUCC
rnacentral:rRNA from 1 species